GAACACGAUUUAGAAUUGCAGAGUCAAGCGGAUCCCUUCGGGGAUGGCUUGGGGAAAUUCCCCGGACACCAGGGCAGAAAGUGCCAGCGUCGAUGCGUAGAUCCCCUCGCGAAGAAGCUGCGGAGAUGGCCGGUGCGCGUGUGCGAACUCGCGUGCUGGCCGGAGCGUCAUAGUGGACUUGCGAGGACUGAUCGUCAUACUAAAAGUUAUGCAAUUGGCUCAGCGGCGCUACGCAGACGUCGUGCUGCAGCCGCUUCGAGCUAACCCGACGGGGAUUACUCAUGUUGUGUU
rnacentral:RNase_MRP_RNA from 1 species